AGAGAGGAAUGCUAAUGGAUCAUU
rnacentral:siRNA from 1 species